rnacentral:rRNA from 1 species
UUUAGCGAUAUAACCUGUGUGAAUUGCAGAAUCCCGUGAACCAUCGAGUCUUUGAACGCAAGUUGCGCCCAAAGCCAUUAGGCUGAGGGCACGCCUGCCUGGGUGUCACACAUCGUCACCCCUUCCUCCACACUUAACCAGUUAAAUGUGAGGCAGUGGGUGAAAGUUGACCUCCCGCGAGCCAGUUCCUCGUGGUUGGUUGAAAAGCAAGUUCGGGGCGGAGUCCCCCGCGAUAACGGUGGAUGAGCCCACGCUCGAGACCAAUCGUGCCUGUGGGACUCCGACGUAACGGACUUAUCGACCCCACACGCGCCCUCUGUGCAAACCGAGUGUGCCAUCUACGAGACCUCAGGUCAGGCGGGGCUACCCGCUGAGUUUAAGCAUAUCAAUAAGCGGAGGAAAAGAAACUAACAAGGAUUCCCCUAGUAACGGCGAGCGAACCGGGAAAAGCCCACCAUGAGAAUCGGUCGCCUUCGGCGUUCGAAUUGUAUCGGAAAAAAAAAAGUCACAAA